rnacentral:rRNA from 1 species
UACGGGGGGAGCAAGCGUUGUUCGGAUUUACUGGGCGUAAAGGGCGCGUAGGCGGUCAGCACAAGUCAGUUGUGAAAUCUCCGGGCUUAACUCGGAAAGGUCAACUGAUACUGUGCGACUAGAGUGCGGAAGGGGCAACUGGAAUUCUCGGUGUAGCGGUGAAAUGCGUAGAUAUCGAGAGGAACACCUGCGGCGAAGGCGGGUUGCUGGGCUGACACUGACGCUGAUGCGCGAAAGCCAGGGAGCGAAGCGGG